ACCGGCGAUACCCGAAUGGGGAAACCCAGUGUGACUCGUCACACUAUCAUUAACUGAAUCCAUAGGUUAAUGAGGCGAACCGGGGGAACUGAAACAUCUAAGUACCCCGAGGAAAAGAAAUCAACCGAGAUUCCCCCAGUAGCGGCGAGCGAACGGGGAGGAGCCCAGAGCCUGAAUCAGCAUGUGUGUUAGUGGAAGCGUCUGGAAAGGCGCGCGAUACAGGGUGACAGCCCCGUACACAAAAGCGCAUGUGCUGUGAGCUCGAUGAGUAGGGCGGGACACGUGGUAUCCUGUCUGAAUAUGGGGGGACCAUCCUCCAAGGCUAAAUACUCCUGACUGACCGAUAGUGAACCAGUACCGUGAGGGAAAGGCGAAAAGAACCCCGGCGAGGGGAGUGAAAAAGAACCUGAAACCGUGUACGUACAAGCAGUGGGAGCACCCUUUGGGUGUGACUGCGUACCUUUUGUAUAAUGGGUCAGCGACUUAUAUUCUGUAGCAAGGUUAACCGAAUAGGGGAGCCGGAGGGAAACCGAGUCUUAACCGGGCGUUAAGUUGCAGGGUAUAGACCCGAAACCCGGUGAUCUAGCCAUGGGCAGGUUGAAGGUUGGGUAACACUAACUGGAGGACCGAACCGACUAAUGUUGAAAAAUUAGCGGAUGACCUGUGGCUGGGGGUGAAAGGCCAAUCAAACCGGGAGAUAGCUGGUUCUCCCCGAAAGCUAUUUAGGUAGCGCCUCGUGAA
rnacentral:rRNA from 1 species